AUACGAAGGGGGCUAGCGUUGUUCGGAAUUACUGGGCGUAAAGCGCGCGUAGGCGGACUGAUCAGUUGGGGGUGAAAUCCCAGGGCUUAACCCUGGAACUGCCUCCAAUACUGUCAGUCUUGAGUUCGGGAGAGGUGAGUGGAAUUCCUAGUGUAGAGGUGAAAUUCGUAGAUAUUAGGAAGAACACCAGUGGCGAAGGCGGCUCACUGGCCCGAUUCUGACGCUGAGGCGCGAAAGCGUGGGGAGCAAACAGGAUUAGAUACCCCAGUAGUCC
rnacentral:rRNA from 1 species